ACUAAGUUCAACAUAUUUAACAUUCACUGCCAUUGACAACGUCAUCAGUCAAAUCUCCAUUCAUUCACUGAAAGACAAAAAUCACUAUUUAAAAGUGCAAUUUUUUUUGCGGAAUGAAUGCAAAGACGCAUCAGUUUCAGGCAGCACGAUUUAUUGAGUGUGACAGAUUAGAGCUGCAUUUUCCAACUUUUCAUAAUGCAAAAAAGUAGAUUGAAAUGAGGGUGUAAGGGUUGGUCUGAGGUGAGGAAUAAAAGCACAAUGAAAUGUCAAAUGAGCCCUUGUGGCCACCACUCGGUCUUUUUUAUUUUUUUCAGCCUUCCAGGAGCACCAGGGUGUUAUCUACGCAUAUAUUCAUCACACCAGGUAAGAUAAACUGCUUCCAAAAUCCUCACAGUGAAUAAAACGAAAAAGUAAUUGCUUGAAAUAUGAGGGGGGGAAAUGCAUCAGGACUAGUUUAUCGUGACAGUAUAUGGACGGAUGGAAAAAAUAAUAAUUAAAAAACAAGCACAAUAACGUCUUCACAUUUUAGCACAUGGCAAUUUUUAAAUUUUGAUCAACAAAUCAAAUCAUUUAUGCGGAAAUUACAAUUCUGGAUAUAUCAUUUUUAAUUUUCCUUCUCAGACAAUGAAAUAAAUAAACUACGUGUAGUACAAUUGAAUGGAGGUGUCAAACCUGAACAUGUUUAUGAUAAACAUCUGUAAUUCUGACAAUACUUCCUCCUUUGUGUAAUCCUAAAAAAACGGUACACAGUAAUGAUAAGUAACUUCUCUAAGUACAUAGAAUAUGCAACAAAUAAAAAGUAUUUUCCAGUGUAACACUAUAAAUUGUGAUGAGAUGAACCAUUGAAUAUAUGGCUGCCUUCCUCAAUUAUUAUUUUAUAGAGUUUGUAAAGUUUUCUGGCAGGAAAAACAUGUAAAGUGUGUUUAGCGAGGAAAAUUCUCUAUAACUUCUAAAGGCAGCAUUUGGGUGUUGUAGUUAUUUAAAAGGAAUAUAAAAAGGUCAAAGCAGGUUACAAGCAACUUUUUACUAUAUCAGCAGGAAGUAAGAGUUAAUCUAUUUUUUUCUGUUUCUUUUUUUGGUUCAUUUUUUAGUUUAAUAGGUUUGGUCAUUUACAUUUUCCCCGUAAUCUCCAUUCGAGGUUGUAAAGUAUUGGUUACAUGCCAGUGCUAAAGUUUAGUUUGUAGUCCUAUUCCAAAGUUCCAGUGUUUUCCUUCAGCAUUUAAACUAAGCAGCAUGGCGACACCCAGUGGUGAAAUGAGUACUAGCUCAUUUUUAGUCCAGGUUAUAAUGUAUGUAUUAGCUUUUCUAGUGAUCAUAAGAAUAGCAAAGACAGGAGUCUAAUAAAAUGGCACAUUUGUACAUGUUUAUAUAUUGAAAAGGUCCUGAAAUAUGGAAACAUUUAGAGCAUUUAUACAUACGUUUAACUCACUGGCUGCCACCAGCCAGAUUCGGACGUCUAUCCCAGUCAAUAACUAUGAUGAAUAUCAAUUGGAAUAAAUGCUCUAAAACUCCAUACUGAAAAGGGGAUUUAGAAUACAGCAUUGAAUACAUCACAUAUUGACUCUGGAGAUGAAUAAAUAAACUAAAUGUACAGCAAUAAACGUUCAAAUAAAUAGAAAAUAAUCAUUUCUUCGAUGUGUACGAACACAGGAUCGGCAUAAAAUGCGGCAAAAUGAGGAUAGAAUCCAGUAACCCGACUUUUUGUUUUGGUUUAACUUGCUUGGUGGCGGAAAAAGUUCCCCAAACAGUUAAGCUCGGAGGAAGGCGUCCCGCAGGGGUCAAUCUCGGAGCCUUUGCGGGAGUCCAAAAUCCAAAUCUAUCGUGAUUCUUUCUGCUGUUGCUCCAUUUCUUUUUUCCGGAGCUUCUCACGUUGUUUCUCCAUUUUCUCCUGGUUCCUCUUAGCCUUCUCCAUCAGAACUUUAAGGUCUUUAAUUUUUUUCUUGAUUAGGGUUCGGUCCUGGGAAGAAGUGACGCCAAGGGACUGAAAUAGGGAGAACAUUAAUUAGCAUCUAAAAUUAGAUAUAGAAUUCAAUCACAUUUUUACCUUGAGUUCAGUGCUAUCUAGUCGCAGCAGUCGUUCCCCGUCUAUGUUUUUGGCAGUGAAUUCAGGAAUAUACUGUUCUAAAUUGAGGCCUACAAGCCAGCGGGACACUUGCUGAGAGCUCCAUUCGAGUGCACCGCGGUUCUGACAUGGGUGCUGCUUUGUAAUCCAGCUUUCUUCGAGGAUCUGGCACCGAAAAUCCAACACAAAAGUGAGUGAAACGCAUGAUUACAAUAUUUUCUGGGUGUCUUUGUAUUUUUCAACUUGCAGAGGUCUCAAACUCAAUUUAUCCGGGGCCAGCUGGACAAAAUAUUAAGCUGAAAUAAAUAAAAACUAACUAAAAAUAAAAAAACAAUAGCUACCUGAAAUUGUAUUGUGUGUUUAAAAAAACUAUCCAAAACAUUAAAGACACAAGUAAUAUUACAGGUCAAAUAGACCAAAUAAAAAUUACUAAAUAUAUUUUUAAAAUCUUGUUUUUGUUUUUUACCUCAACACCUCAACAUAUGUAAAACUAAUAUAAAAACACUAAUAAUUUGAAGAAAAAUGAAAAUGUAGCAUUCACUUUAAAAUUUCCAAAUGACAAUUAGACACAAAGAAAAAAAUACAGUACUAUGUACAACUAAACUACAAUAGUGCUGCAACGAUUAAUCGAUUAACUUGAGUAAUUUGAAUCAAACUUCGAAUCAAACUUUGCUUCCCCGGGGAUUCGUUUAGUUACAGUGGCGUUGUAAUGUUUUGUUUUGAAUGUGUUUGCAUUUAGUUCUGAUUUGGGUAGAUACACUGCCCUCUAGUGGCACCGGUGAAUAUGGCAUAAUUCACGACAUAGCUGAAUCCAGGUGCUCCCUGUUAGACCAACAUAAGAUACGUUUUUGUUUGAGCUAAUGUUUUUUUUAUGCAUUCGUUAACAUUUUAUAGCAGUUAAACUAGCGGACCUUUGCUAUGCACGUCAGCCAAUUGUUCUUUUGUUGUAGAUCUUUUUUUUCAUACCGUUUGAGGUAAAGCUCUGGUAUUUUUAUUUUUAAAUGUAUUUAUUGCUCUUGUGAAAUGAAAAUGUAUUUCUGCAUAGUUGGAAGAAACACUCGGGAAUUUUAUUUUGCAUUUGCAUUUAAUGCUCUUUUGAAAGUGCAAUCUUAGCAAGCCUUUGAUAAUCUAUUUCUUAAAUUAUCGAUACCCGCAUUUAUAACUACAAUUAAAAACACAAAACUUUGUUGGGUGCCAAAAAUUAACGUACUGUGGGCCUCAGUUGGCCUCCAGACCACAUGUUUGAGAUCACCACUUUUAUGGAAAACAUUGGUUAAACGUCAAUUGAAUCAAAUGCUCAUUCAAGUACCACUAUAGAAAAUUCAGUCUUACCUCAUCGUCUACCAUAUCCAAACUCUGCAUGUUGCAGCACAAAAAUCAAACAAAAGAGACCCGGUUGUAAAUUUACAACACAUUUUGACAUGUUAAACCCAUUUCCACUUCUGGUUUAAUUUUUCCAAUCAAUUUUCUAAAUGACCUUACCUCAUCCGAAGAAAGCGCCAAGCUAUCAGAGCGUCCCAACGUUUUUCCGUCGCCGAUAUCCGCAGAGCUGCUGCUGCUAGCGCUCAAGUCCUCGCUUAACGCUGGUCCCUGACAUCCAUAAACACAAUUAUGAACUCACAAAAGUACCCAUCUGAGAGCAGCAGGAGGCUAAUUUUCUUAAAUGCAUUGAGGACUUCUAUUGACCAUUCUUAGAAUGUUAUUGAUCAGUGCGUUAAGCUAACACGGGGAGCAUUGAUUGGCUGAUUAAUAAAAAAGUAAAAUCAAUGAAGCAUAUUAGAGCAAGUUAAUUUCCAGAUAAACUAAAAAACUACAUUCACUUUAAAACUACAUAGACGUCAAACUCAUUUUGACUUGGAGAGAAUUGGCUUUCAACUCAAAAUUGAUUGGCCGUCAAUGGCUGUCAGUGAAAGACAAGAUCUUGAAAAAUAGUGAAAAUACUAAGUAGUACAGUGACACAUUACCAGGUAAUAUGAAUAGGAGAAGAAAUGUGGCAAAGUAAUGGGACUCUGUUAAACACAAAUAAGAAUCAAACAUUAUUUAAUGGUAAUAUUACUAACUAAACCUUUAGUAUCCCUGUUUAAUCUACUGACAUUCAAAAAAAAAUGACCAAAAAUUAUCAAUAAAACAACCUACAGUAUGAAUCACCAAUUUCAUGACCAUACAAUACAAUAUUGAUUCUUUGUUCAGUACAAUGAUAUUUGGCAUAUUCCUAAAUCCGCCUAGAUUUAAUCCGUUUUAAGUGCCAUUGAUCGAUUUACUGUAUUUUUCAGACUAUAUAUCUCACCAGCCAAAAAAUGCUCAAUGAAGAGGGAAAAAACAUUCUUAAAAACACAUACUCAACAACAGACGUCAUCUUGAAAGGCAAUUUAAAAUAGAAUAGAGAACAAUAGGCUGAAUAACUAUGGCAUGCUAACAUUACAUGACGCAUAAACAACGAACUCCAAACUUUCUUACAGUUUUCAGCUGCAUAUUUCACUACUUGCAGCUUGUAAUCUGCAGAAUAUGAUUUUCUAUUCGUUGCCAUUUUGUUCAGCCCUUCUCAAUUGUUAUUAUAAGUUACCGCCAAUGUUGAAACAGGCCUUGAGCACGUCCUCUUGCUGUUCAGUGUGAAAAUUAGAAAUGUUAAUAAUGCUUGUCAAGAGUCGAGAAUCUGCUUUGGACAAGGUGUCAAGAGUCAAGAAUCUGCACUGGACAAGGUGAUGAUGCUGGAACUUUGGUUUGGUGCUGUUCCAGUGAGAUUUGCAAAGAUGACUGCCUGAAGAAAACAUAAAAAUUCCCUCAGUCUUUGAUGAUAUGGGGCUGCAUGUCAGGCAAAGGCAAUGGAGAGAUGGCUGUGGUUAAAUUGAUGACAAUGCAUCAUGUCACAGAGCUAAAACUGUUAAAGCAGUCCUUGGAGAAAGACUCAUCCAGUCAGUGUCAUGGCCUGCAAGUAGCCCAGAUCUCAACCCUAUUGAAAACCUGUGGUGGAAAUUGAAAAAAUGGUCCACAGCAAGGCUCUGACCUGCAAGAAUGAUCUGGCAACUGCAAUCAAAGAGAAUUGGCACAAAAUCGAUGAAGAAUACACAUCAAGUCCAUGCCUCAGAGACUGCAAGCUGUCAUAAAAACCAGAGAAUGGAGUGAUUCCAUAUAUAUUUCCCUGCACUUGCUCUGUAAAGUAGCUUACGAAGACUCAUGGGCUUGUCUCUGGUCCUCCGCAUGCCGAGAAGGGCUUGACGUCGCAGAAGAACCUGCGUUAGAACCUUCUUUUAUGCGUCUUGGGGAUCCUUCUGCACUGGCCAGACCCCUUGGGACUGCGUCAUAAGAAGCAACACUACGAAUGGAUCCAGAACGACUGUGACCUGGACUGCAACGCCCCUCUGAGACCUAAAAAUGGAC